rfam:Triticum aestivum genome assembly, contig: Triticum_aestivum_CS42_TGACv1_scaffold_622740_7DS
AAACUACUCCCUCCGUCCGGAAAUACUUGUCCUAGAAGUGGAUGUAUCUAGAUUUAUUUUAUUUAUAGAUACAUGCAUUUUUAGGACAAGUAUUUCUGGACGGAGGGAGUACUUA